CUCUUUAUUGUCUUUUAUUUUUACAGCUGUUCUUCCUCUGCACAGAUCUGUUGAAAGUCGAUGUUUAAAGGAGGAUUUUCUCUCAUGUACAUGUUUGGAAAAGUCGUUUUUAAAAUGAUUAUAUGAGAAUAUUUUCAGUCUGUUGGUUUUCUGUUCUUGGAUGAAGAGCUCUCUCUGACCUUUAUUAAAAAGGUUUCAAACAUCAGCUCAGGUGUGAGGCGUUGGUGACUCAGAGACCUCCAUAUCUAACAUCACCUGCUGUUGAAUUUCUCUGUUUGUCCAGAGAAACGCCGGCUAACUGAACACUGGAGGGUUUCAAAUAAAAAAGAGUAUCUGAGAGUUUUUCUCCAUCCAACAGGUGAACAUGACUCUGUGAAUUCACCUGUGAUUAUGGAUCUAAAGGGGAACCAUCUGACCUUCUGUCCUGAUGGAAACAGAAGGAGGGUCAAAGUGAGGAGAGGAGAAACGGCUGAAGAUGAGGAGAAGGUCUCUGUGAAGAGCAGCACCAUUACCUCAUCCGUCCCAGCUCAAACAGAGUCCGACAGAUGGACCUGGGGUGUGUGUGUGUGUGUGUGUGUG